UACGUAGGGACCAAGCGUUGUUCGGAUUUACUGGGCGUAAAGGGCGCGUAGGCGGCAAUUCAAGUCAUCUGUGAAAUCUCCGGGCUUAACUCGGAAUGGUCAGGUGAUACUGCUUUGCUAGAGUGCAGAAGGGGCAAUCGGAAUUCUUGGUGUAGCGGUGAAAUGCGUAGAUAUCAAGAGGAACACCUGAGGUGAAGACGGGUUGCUGGGCUGACACGUGACGCUGAGGCGCGAAAGCCAGGGGAGCAAACGGG
rnacentral:rRNA from 1 species